rnacentral:rRNA from 1 species
GUCUCAGUUCAGAUUGUAGGCUGCAACUCGCCUACAUGAAGUCGGAAUUGCUAGUAAUCGCGGAUCAGCAUGCCGCGGUGAAUACGUUCCCGGGCCUUGUACACACCGCCCGUCACACCAUGAGAGUUUGUAACACCCAAAGCCGGUGGGGUAACCUUUUGGAGCCAGCCGUCUAAGGUGGGACAGAUGAGUUAGGGUGAAGUCGUAACAAGGUACC